UACGAAGGGGGCUAGCGUUGUUCGGAAUUACUGGGCGUAAAGGGCGCGUAGGCGGUCCUGAUCGUCGGAUGUGAAAGGCCUGGGCUCAACCUGGGAAUGGCAUCCGAUACGGCGGGACUGGAGUGUGGGAGAGGUUGGUGGAAUUCCCAGUGUAGAGGUGAAAUUCGUAGAUAUUGGGAAGAACACCGGUGGCGAAGGCGGCCAACUGGACCACAACUGACGCUGAGGCGCGAAAGCGUGGGGAGAAAACAGG
rnacentral:rRNA from 1 species